ACUUGUACCGACUGGAUGAGCAGCGAACGGGUGAGUAACGCGUGGGGAAUCUGCCUUUGAGCGGGGGACAACAUUUGGAAACGAAUGCUAAUACCGCAUAAAAACUUUAAACACAAGUUUUAAGUUUGAAAGAUGCAAUUGCAUCACUCAAAGAUGAUCCCGCGUUGUAUUAGCUAGUUGGUGAGGUAAAGGCUCACCAAGGCGAUGAUACAUAGCCGACCUGAGAGGGUGAUCGGCCACAUUGGGACUGAGACACGGCCCAAACUCCUACGGGAGGCAGCAGUAGGGAAUCUUCGGCAAUGGACGAAAGUCUGACCGAGCAACGCCGCGUGAGUGAAGAAGGUUUUCGGAUCGUAAAACUCUGUUGGUAGAGAAGAACGUUGGUGAGAGUGGAAAGCUCAUCAAGUGACGGUAACUACCCAGAAAGGGACGGCUAACUACGUGCCAGCAGCCGCGGUAAUACGUAGGUCCCGAGCGUUGUCCGGAUUUAUUGGGCGUAAAGCGAGCGCAGGUGGUUUAUUAAGUCUGGUGUAAAAGGCAGUGGCUCAACCAUUGUAUGCAUUGGAAACUGGUAGACUUGAGUGCAGGAGAGGAGAGUGGAAUUCCAUGUGGUA
rnacentral:rRNA from 1 species